rnacentral:rRNA from 1 species
GAUGAACGCUGGCGGCGUGCCUAAUACAUGCAAGUCGAGCGAACGGACGAGAAGCUUGCUUCUCUGAUGUUAGCGGCGGACGGGUGAGUAACACGUGGAUAACCUACCUAUAAGACUGGGAUAACUUCGGGAAACCGGAGCUAAUACCGGAUAAUAUUUUGAACCGCAUGGUUCAAAAGUGAAAGACGGUCUUGCUGUCACUUAUAGAUGGAUCCGCGCUGCAUUAGCUAGUUGGUAAGGUAACGGCUUACCAAGGCAACGAUGCAUAGCCGACCUGAGAGGGUGAUAGGCCACACGGGAACUGAGACACGGUCAAGACUCCUAAGGGAGGCAGCAGAAGGGAAUCUGCCGCAAUGGGCGAAAGCCUGACGGAGCAACGCCGCGUGAGUGAUGAAGGUCUUCGGAUCGUAAAACUCUGUUAUUAGGGAAGAACAUAUGUGUAAGUAACUGUGCACAGCUUGACGGUACCUAAUCAGAAAGCCACGGCUAACUACGUG